GCGGAAGUGGCGAAAUUGGUAGACGCACCACAUUUAGGUUCUGGCGCCGAUAGGUGUGAGAGUUCGAGUCUCUCCUUCCGCACCA
rnacentral:tRNA from 1 species